rnacentral:rRNA from 1 species
AAUCAACGCUGGCGGCGUGCCUAACACAUGCAAGUCGCACGAGAAAGGGACUUCGGUCCUGAGUACAGUGGCGCACGGGUGAGUAACACGUGAAUCAUCUACCUUCGAGUGGGGAAGUAACUGAGAGAAAUACUUAGCUAAUACCGCAUAAUACCUACGGGUCAAAGACAGCAAUGCGCUUGAAGAGGAGUUCGCGGCAGAUUAGUUAGUUGGCAGGGUAA